AGUCGAAUUGAGAACCUCCUCCUUUUUUGGAAGUCGGUUAAAAAUAAAGUUCGCUACUAUUAAGAGUAUUUCUUAUAUUUGAUACAUUUGAUGAUAUCAUAGAGUUACUGACUGAGUUGAGAAAUUAUAAAACGCGUAAACUAAGUAUUGGAAAAAAAGUGUGUGUGUGUACUUAUGUACGCACGUAAGAAGUUAUACUUCAUUGGCUAGCUAACAUCACGUUGCUAACUUCUUCUUCGUUGACUAGCUAACUUCAGGGUAUCGGUUUUUUGGAACGGUGUGCGUGAUCGUAAAAAUUUACCGUCAUCAUGUUACCCUAACGCGCCAAAAGAAGUAUAACUUCAAAAAUAAAAAGUUUAUUUACGACAUGUUUGUUUAGAUAAUUUUUGUACUUAAGUGACAAGUUCAAUUAAGUACAAUUAAGUAAUUACUUAAAAUAGAAAAUCUUUUUAAGCUAAGAUAAAUGUCAACGGACACGAAAGAAAUGAACGAAA
rnacentral:misc_RNA from 1 species